rnacentral:rRNA from 1 species
CCUGGUUGAUCCUGCCAGUUGUCAUAUGCUUAUUUCAAGGACUAAGCCAUGCAAUUGUAAGAGUACCUAUGCUUCGGCAAAGGGGGGUCUGAGCACGGCUCAUUAUAAGGUUAAUAGUCUGCCCAACGCAGGACGGAUUCAUGCCGUUCCAACGGGAUAACUGUGCUAACUGUACAGCUAAUACCACGGGAGAAGAUUCCGCGGCCAUCAAACCAUUUAGCAGGGCAACUUGCUGGGUGGGGCCUCGGAAGCUGUUGGCCGAAACAAAGACUGACGCCGCUCAAACGGCAGUUGUAAUUGUUGACGCAGGCCAACGAAGCAGAAGCGCAGGGGUUUACUCCUGCGCGUUGUUGGACGAAUUCACCACCUAUCAGGUUGUUGGUAGUGUAGUGGACUACCAAGCCAUUGACGGGUAACGGAGGAUUGGGGUUCGAUUCCGGAGAGGGUGCCUGAGAAACGGCAACCAUGACUACGGACAGCAGCAGGUGCGCAAAUUGCCCAAUGCUAACGUUAUCACUAGCGAGGCAGCGACGAAAAAUAGCAUUCCUAGCGACAAUGUCGUUAGGGCUUGCAAUGGAUUGUAUCUACAAACACUGCUGAAAACAAUUAGAGGGCAAGUCUGGUGCCAGCAGCCGCGGUAAUUCCAGCUCUAAGAGUGUAUAUGAAUGUUGUUGCGGUUAAAAAGCCCGUAGUUGGAUUUGAGGAUCUUGUCCCGUGUUUGGAUCUGAAAUCUUCGGACGACGGACCCCCAAGCUACGCAAUAUGUCAAGGUUCUGAGACAUGUGGGACUGUCCACCGCCAGUUUGUGAGGGUGAAACUCUCACACGUUGGCAUAAAAAGCGGAGAGUCAAGGUAUCCACACUCCGUAAGGUGCGCCCACAGCCGUCACUGUGAAUAAAUCAGAGUGCUUAGGGCAACCAACUUGUUUAUGGUUGUAUGCUAAAGCAUGGAAUGACAAGGGAUCGACCUUCAUUGGCGUCUUUUGUUAGUUUUUGCGCCUUCUGUGCCGCGAAAGCGGUCGAAGGAGAAUUUUUGUGGAUUUGCAUUUACUCGGGCGGGCUUCUGUCUGCUCGUGUGAGGCUACCACAGCACGGGAUAAAUAGGAUCAAAGGGGGCCCUCGCUACUGGCGGGCUAGUGGUGAAAUACAUAGACCCCGCUAAGAGCAACUUCAGCGAAAGCAGUGGGCUAUUUUGCUUUCAUUUACCAUAGGACGAUAGAUAUGGGAUCAAAGAGGAUUAGACACCCUCGUAGUCGUUUCUGUAAACUCUGCAGGCUCGGGAUCGGUCACGGCUCUUCUUAAAUUGACCUGAUCGGCACCUUCUUUCUUCUUAUCGGGAAACCAAAGCUUUUGUGUUCCGGGGGGAGUACAUUCGCAAGGCUGAAACUUAAAGGAAUUGACGGGAAACCACCACCAGGCGUGGAGUGUGUGGCUUAAUUCGACCCAACACGGGAAAUCCUACCAGGCCAGGACGUGCUUAUGAUUGCCGGAUUGAUAGACCUUGCAUGAUUGCGCGAAGGGUGGUGCAUGGCCGCUUCUGGUUGGUGAAGUGAUUUGUCUGCUUAAUU